ACCAGGAUGGCCGAGUGGUUAAGGUGUUGGACUCAAGAUCCAAUGGGCAACAGUCCUUGUGGGUCUCGAACCCCACUCCUGGUA